rnacentral:rRNA from 1 species
UACCAGCGACCCCGAGUGGUCGGGACGGAUUAUUGGGCCUAAAGGCAAUCCGUAGCCGGUUUUACAAGUCCUCCGUUAAAUCCAGGCUGCUUAACAGAUGGGCUGCGGAGGAUACUAUAAGACUAGGAGGCAGGAGAGGCAAGCGGUACUCAGUGGGUAGGGGUAAAAUCCGUUGAUCCAUUGAAGACCACCAGUGGCGAAGGCGGCUUGCCAGAACGCACUCGACGGUGAGGGAUGAAAGCUGGGGGAG